AGCUCAGCUGGUUCAGAGCAUCUGCCUUACAAGCAGAGGGUCACUGGUUCGAAUCCAGU
rnacentral:tRNA from 1 species